rnacentral:lncRNA from 1 species
AAAAAAAAACUCAAUAUAGUUGCCAGCUCAGCUCCAGCAGCAAGGACAGAGAAAAAGCAGGUCCUGAUCUGCAGUGAUGCCACUUCCCUGGAGAGGAGUGAGAAGAGGCAAGCGCUGCAGAAUGAGAUUCACAACACCCUGCUCGUGGUACAAUGAAGAAUAAGCAAAUUAAAGCUACGCUAAGAAUAAGCCAACACCAAAAUAAAGCACGUUUCAAUCUCAGUCCUCUCCAGCAGCCCAGAUCUUGGCCGUCAUGGAGAAGCAGCUUGACAGCUGCUCAAUGAGGGACACGGUUCGUGGGCAUGGAUGGUUGGGGUGGAUCUUGGUGAUCUUUGAGAUCUUUUGCAGCCUUAAUGAUUCUAGAAGUCUAUGAUUCUAACACUGUUCCUUUCAGUGUGAAAGCCAGACUGGUCUGUGUAGCACCAAAAAAACAAAGUCUGGGUUCAGAGCUCUGUGCUCCUGUAGCUGCCCCUUGGCCAGGAGCCUUCUUAGCUGAUUGGAUUUCAAACCAGGAGGGGACCUCCACCAAACCUGCCGGUAUGACCCAAAGGUCCUGGAUGUGGCACAUUUCUGCAGAGACUUCUGAAUGCAAACAGCAGAGGCAGCUUUGUUGCAGCAGGAGAGGGUGCACGUGUGGCUGCUGGAAGGAGCCCAGUGCUUGGAGAAAGCUCUGGAGGCCUGUAGGUGGAGUCCAGCUGCGUCAACCGCUCUGCAAGCAAAGCAUUGCUUCACAAGAGGACAGUGAGUAAAGCCUCUCUUUGAUCCACCUCCACACUUUAUUAACUGCCUGUGAAAGGAGAUUAUUCCGCCCUAAAAAAAAAAAAAAAACCAACCUAAAAAAAAUAAAAAAACAUGGAGGAAAUAAAACAAUCAGCUGAGGCAAAUGAAGUGAGCAAUUACUCUGGAACCAUUCAGACCAGAUUGACUUUCACUUCUGGUCAUACCAGCUUGAUGUCGACGCAAGGAUCUCCAGCACCCACAAGGAUGCUUCAUGAUGCUGAAGAAGGUUUUCACACCACUUCCCUGUCCAAGGAAGAAGGUUCGUCAUCCAUUAUUUAUGAAAUCAUCAUGUUGUCUCUCUGUGGAGGUCUGCUGCUGCUCUUUGUGAUCAGUGCCAUCAUGAGAAUUGUCCAGAGCCACUGCACUCCACAUUACUCUUCCAAAGACCUCAGUGCAUCCACAGUUGCUCUGGAAAACACUGCAAUGACCAACAUCUGCUCUGAUAAGAUUUCAACAGUGAAUUUGACUGGCCCGGUGUGUCUGAGUUACAUUUCCAGCAGGCCCACUGGAGGUACAGAAGAGACAAUUUCCAUUUCUGAGCUCCCAUUCUUCUCCUCUGCUGUGUCGAUCACACCCCCGAAUUCACCACUGGAGCAGUGAUGGCUCCUCUUGUCAGCUGCUUUAUUCUGGAGACAAACAUGCACAAAAGGCUCUGGGGUGCACGUUGGCAAGCAAUGGGCUGAUGUGUCCUACAUUUCCUCCACCAUGACUUCAGGUUGCCAACCUGUACUACACCAGUAUUAGAAAAAAGAGGAAACUGGGGAUUUUNNNNNNNNNNNNNNNNNNNNNNNNNNNNNNNNNNNNNNNNNNNNNNNNNNNNNNNNNNNNNNNNNNNNNNNNNNNNNNNNNNNNNNNNNNNNNNNNNNNNCGUUGAAUGAGUCAUGAGAAAAAAACAUGGGGGAAUUUCGGGUGAUUUUUAUUCAGGUAAUUAGGGUGAUUUCCAAAUCCCUCUGAUUCACACACAAACUGCAGCCUUCUAUCCAUGGUUUAUAACAAGCUAUAUGACUGUGGCUGUGCCAACACUAUUGGACGCACUGCGGUCUGCAAGUCACCAGUUCUUUGACGUCUUUUUUAAUCUGCCCACCUUUACAGUCUGAAGGAAGAUACUAUCUAUUAAUCUUUAAGCUAAGAGCUGCAGCACCGGUGACCUCUGUCUCUGGUGUGACAUCAGCUUGCUGAGGAAUGAGCUUGUUCUCCCCACUCAAGUACAAGGGUAUAUGAUCUUCCAUUUAUCUUAUCAACUUUUUUGGCCUACCUCCAGCAUUGUUUUCCAGAGGAAGCAGGAGGAAAGACCUCUGACCAGUGAGUGUUCCCCCAAAAGAGAUUUGGCAUCAUUCAUUUCUUCUUCAAUCAUCAAAGUGACAAUUUGAGCAACUCAACUGAGGUGGAAACCAAACUUUGCUUCGUAGAAUUAUGGAAUCACAGAAUCAUGAAGGUUGGAAGUCCUUUAAGAUCCCCAAGCCCAACCCUAACCAUCCCACCAUGGCCACUGGCCACAUCUCCAACUGCCACAUCUCCAUGGUUCUCAAACACCUCCAGGGAUGGGGACUCCACCACCUCCCUGCACAGCCUGUGCCACUGCAUCACCUCUCUUUCAGAGAAUAAAUUUUUAUAUCUCUUACGGUUAUGGCAAAAUUCCCUUUCUUACCUCCAGUGUGGAAUUCCAACACAUGGAGACCAGGAUAAUGUGUAUGUAAGGAACAAACAACAAACAGCAAUUAGAGAUUGUUAUGCUUAGGGAGCCAAGCACAAUAAACUUAGGAAAUAGUACCAAUAAAUGGAUGCGUGGGUUCUGAAUUUUGUAUUUGUUUUACUUUUGUUCUUUGCUCACCAGGAAUAAAGCAACACAAUCCUGACAACAUGCAUGCUACAAGCUUUGGUCUCAGUGGAGGAGAUGAGGAUGGUUUAGCCCCAGGAAAUGUGUUCUGUUUGGUGAUAUUGAACAACAAACCAAUGCAAAAUGUAAAAGAAUGAAAAAUAGCAGGGUCUUCUCAAUACUUUCCCAGCCUCAGCUGUAAUCCUUUGGCAUCUGUAGGGUGGUUUUGAACUCUUCCUUAUGGUGAUGGACUGCACUCUGCAGAUGACAUCGGAGGAAUUUACUGCAAUGAAACAUAACACCUUAAUGAGGAAAAGAACUGCUUUCCUCCUAAUGCAGCAGCUUUGUCUGGUUUUCCCUCCACCACGCAGUGUGAUGGCUCAGAUCUAAGACUCGUGUGGUUGCUGAAUUGCCAUGAUGGAUUUUGGAAAGGGGAAAAUCAUGUCAACUUUAUGUAAGCAUUACAGCAGCUGCUCUUUGGAAAUACAUCUUAAUGAUGGGUAAAAAUAAUAAGCCAUAACUUAUAUACUUCUUUUAAAAAACUUUUUCUUUCUUUCUUUCUUUCUUUCUUUCUUUUCUUUUUUUUUUUUCCCCAGCACUGUAAUUCUAAACAUUAGUUCUUCAUUGAGGUCAGCAGCUAGAGAUAGACAGGAUGCUGUAAGGAGGUAGCCCAGGAAAUUCCACUUGAUGCUGGUGGCUACCAGACAUGCCUGUCAGUGACCUCUCGUAUCUGUCACUUAUGUUGGAAGGGACAUCACAGAGCCCCCACUGUGGGCUGGCUGCCCCCCCAGCUCAGCCUGUCCAGAGCUCAUCCUUGGCCUCAGGUACCUCCAGGGAUGGGGCACCCACAGUUCUGGGCAGCAGUGCCGGGGCUUCACCGUCCUCUGGGUAAAGAAUUUUCCCUUCACAUCAGACCUGAACCUGCCCUCCUUAGUUUAAACCCUUGUCUUAUCAAUAUCUGCUCAUGUAAACUGUUCUGUCUGUUAAGCUCCCUUUAAGUAUUGAUGGCUGCUGUGAGGUCUUCCUGGAGCCUUCUCUGGGCUGAACAAACCCAACUCCCUCAGCCUUCCUUAACAGCAGAAGUGCUCCAGCCCUCUGAGCACCUCUGUGGAUGCUCUGGACCUGCCCCAGCAGCUUCCACAUUUUUGCACUGGGAGCCCAGGCCUGGACACAGUACUAAUGCAUUAGUAAUGAUUAUUUAGUAGCAUAAAACUAUAUCACAGAAUCACAAAAUCAUACAAUCAAGUUGGAUGGGACCCACAGGGAUCAUCACUGAGUCCAUCCCCAGAUCCCAAACAGCACUGCCCAAAUCCAAACCUCAUAACUGAGAGCAGUGUCCUGACUGUGAGUCUUACAUGGUGAUGAUGCCAAUUGCUGUGCCCUAAGCAAGGCACAGUUCUACUGCUGCCCAGGGAAGGAGCUCACGGUACGUUUGAUUGCUGAGAGAUAGAACUGGAGUCACGCAAUGCUCCAUCAGCUGCAAUGAGAGAUGUGAGCAACAAAAGCAAGUGUUCACGCACAGAGAGCAGCGCAUUACAAGGAAUUUAAAGCAAUUAAAAAAGUCAAUUUCCCCCAAUUUCUCUCUGCACUC